rnacentral:rRNA from 1 species
UACGAAGGGGGCUAGCGUUGCUCGGAAUCACUGGGCGUAAAGGGUGCGUAGGCGGGUCUUUAAGUCAGGGGUGAAAUCCUGGAGCUCAACUCCAGAACUGCCUUUGAUACUGAGGAUCUUGAGUUCGGGAGAGGUGAGUGGAACUGCGGAGUGUAGAGGUGAAAUUCGUAGAUAUUCGCAAGAACACCAGUGGCGAAGGCGGCUCACUGGCCCGAUACUGACGCUGAGGCAC